rnacentral:miRNA from 1 species
UGAGGCAGGAGAAUUGCUUGAACCCAGGAAGUGGAGGUUGCAGUGAGCCAAGAUCGUGCCACUGCACUUCCAGCCUGGGUGACAGAGCAAGACUCCAUCUC